rnacentral:rRNA from 1 species
AACGAACGCUGGCGGCAGGCUUAACACAUGCAAGUCGAACGCCCCGCAAGGGGAGUGGCAGACGGGUGAGUAACGCGUGGGAACGUGCCCUUCGCUUCGGAAUAGUCCCGGGAAACUGGGUUUAAUACCGGAUGCGCCCUUCGGGGGAAAGAUUUAUCGGCGAAGGAUCGGCCCGCGUUGGAUUAGCUAGUUGGCGGUGUAAUGGACCACCAAGGCGACGAUCCAUAGCUGGUCUGAGAGGACGACCAGCCACACUGGGACUGAGACACGGCCCAGACUCCUACGGGAGGCAGCAGUGGGGAAUCUUGGACAAUGGGCGCAAGCCUGAUCCAGCCAUGCCGCGUGAGUGAAGAAGGCCUUAGGGUUGUAAAACUCUUUCGCCGGAGAAGAUAAUGACGGUAUCCGGAGAAGAAGCCCCGGCUAACUUCGUGCCAGCAGCCGCAGUAAAAC